ACACAUGCAAGUCGAGCGAAGCGCUGUUUUCAGAAUCUUCGGAGGAAGAGGACAGUGACUGAGCGGCGGACGGGUGAGUAACGCGUGGGCAACCUGCCUCAUACAGGGGGAUAACAGUUAGAAAUGACUGCUAAUACCGCAUAAGCGCACAGGACCGCAUGGUGUAGUGUGAAAAACUCCGGUGGUAUGAGAUGGACCCGCGUCUGAUUAGGUAGUUGGUGGGGUAAAGGCCUACCAAGCCGACGAUCAGUAGCCGACCUGAGAGGGUGACCGGCCACAUUGGGACUGAGACACGGCCCAAACUCCUACGGGAGGCAGCAGUGGGGAAUAUUGCACAAUGGGGGAAACCCUGAUGCAGCGACGCCGCGUGAAGGAAGAAGUAUUUCGGUAUGUAAACUUCUAUCAGCAGGGAAGAAGAUGACGGUACCUGAGUAAGAAGCACCGGCUAAAUACGUGCCAGCAGCCGCGGUAAUACGUAUGGUGCAAGCGUUAUCCGGAUUUACUGGGUGUAAAGGGAGCGUAGACGGAUAGGCAAGUCUGGAGUGAAAACCCAGGGCUCAACCCUGGGACUGCUUUGGAAACUGCAGAUCUGGAGUGCCGGAGAGGUAAGCGGAAUUCCUAGUGUAGCGGUGAAAUGCGUAGAUAUUAGGAGGAACACCAGUGGCGAAGGCGGCUUACUGGACGGU
rnacentral:rRNA from 1 species